GUAGGUGGCAAGCGUUGUCCGGAAUUAUUGGGCGUAAAGCGCGCGCAGGCGGGUUCUUUAAGUCUGAUGUGAAAGCCCACGGGCUCAACCGUGGAGGGUCAUUGGAAACUGGAGAACUUGAGUACAGAAGAGGAAAGCGGAAUUCCACGUGUAGCGGUGAAAUGCGUAGAGAUGUGGAGGAACACCAGUGGCGAAGGCGGCUUUCUGGUCUGUAACUGACGCUGAGGCGCGAAAGCGUGGGGAGCAAACAGGAUUAGAUACCCUGGUAGUCCACGCCGUAAACGGUGAGUGCUAAGUGUUAGGGGGUUUCCGCCCCUUAGUGCUGCAGCUAACGCAUUAAGCACUCCGCCUGGGGAGUACGGCCGCAAGACUG
rnacentral:rRNA from 1 species